UUCACUGCUUAUAGAAUGUCAUCAUAUCAUUAGAUACACUUGUAUUACCAGCAGCAGAUACACUUAUUCAGAUAAACUUUCUAUAACUUUCAGAUAUUCAUAUGCUAUCAUAUUUGUCAUCACCUGGCCUCUAAAAACAUGAUUCCUUUCACGUGUAUUCUUAUUACAACAAUUUUAACUAAUGAAGUUUUGCCUAAAAACGAAAUAUUCAAGGAAAUUCCCAUUUAAUUGCAUGGGAUGGACAUGCGUUUAAACGACGGUAGGUGAGUGAUAAGUUUGAACAAGAAAGCAACUUUUAUAGAGACUCAUACUGUUUCUUGCAGUGAAUAAAUCAUACGCUGAAUAAAUGUUUAUUAGGAGAAAAGAAAAAGACACGCUCACACACGUACUCACACACAAAAAAUAUUAAGUUGUAUGUGGCAAACAAAGCAGCAAAUAACACUAACAUUUUAAAGAGAAAACGAAUAUGCCUUAGUACAUCAUCGAUGAGAUGCGAUAGUGGUCGGUAGAGAGAAAACAUCAGCGGUAGCUGUUGCAGGGAAUCGAUAGAACUACCAAUCUCCAAAUCAACAUGUAAGAAGUAACAGCAUUUUUACUUCAGUUCGCUCACAUUGGAAUAACAAUAUCACAACUCUUGCGAUCACGUCUAUCGUAAAAAUGGGGUAACAACAUAUUAAAGACGAAGGUGAUUGAAGGAUACAAAGUUAUACUCCUUUAUUGUUUUGAUUUCAACUUUGAGAAGUACAAAGGCGUCCUAAACUCCGUGGGGUUACAAGAAAAGCCAUGCACAUGUUUUGAACGAUAUUUACUGAAAUAUGAAAGUACAAACAAAAGAAAGUCUCUGAAGG
rnacentral:misc_RNA from 1 species